rnacentral:rRNA from 1 species
CGGAGGAAAAGAAACCAACAGGGAUUCCCCUAGUAACGGCGAGUGAAGCGGGAACAGCUCAAAUUUGAAAUCUGGCCCUCGGGUCCGAGUUGUAAUUUGUAGAGGAUGCUUUUGGUGCGGUGCCUUCCGAGUUCCCUGGAACGGGACGCCUUAGAGGGUGAGAGCCCCGUACGGUUGGACGCCUAGCCUCUGUAAAGCUCCUUCGACGAGUCGAGUAGUUUGGGAAUGCUGCUCUAAAUGGGAGGUAUAUUUCUUCUAAAGCUAAAUACUGGCCAGAGACCGAUAGCGCACAAGUAGAGUGAUCGAAAGAUGAAAAGCACUUUGAAAAGAGGGUUAAAUAGCACGUGAAAUUGUUGAAAGGGAAGCGUUUAUCACCAGACUUUUUCUGGGGGGAUCAUCCGGUGUUCUCACCGGUGCACUUCCCCCAGUUGAGGCCAGCAUCGGUUUUCGGAGGGGGAUAAAAGCUUCGGGAAUGUGGCUCCCUCGGGAGUGUUAUAGCCCGUUGCAUAAUACCCUUCUGGGGACCGAGGUUCGCGCAUCUGCAAGGAUGCUGGCAUAAUGGUGAUCAACGACCCGUCU